UACCAGCACCCCGAGUGGUCGGGACGAUUAUUGGGCCUAAAGCAUCCGUAGCCGGUUUUACAAGUCCCCCGUUAAAUCCAACUGCUUAACAGAUGGGCCGCGGAGGAUACUAUAAGACUAGGAGGCAGGAGAGGCAAGCGGUACUCAGUGGGUAGGGGUAAAAUCCUGUAAUCCUUCGGGGAGGACCAGUGGCGAAGGCGUCACGCUAGAACGGCUCCGACAGUGAGGGACGAAGCCCUGGGGCGCAAACCGG
rnacentral:rRNA from 1 species